rnacentral:siRNA from 1 species
AGGGUGCGUUCUGCAACAAAGGAA